rnacentral:rRNA from 1 species
AGAGUUUGAUCCUGGCUCAGAGCGAACGUUAGCGGCAGGCCUAACACAUGCAAGUCGAGCGCGAAAGUGACCUUCGGGUCGCGAGUAGAGCGGCGGACGGGUGAGUAACACGUGGAUAACCUGCCCUCCGAUGGGGGACAACCACCCGAAAGGGUGGCUAAUACCGCAUACGUCGAGCGACUCUUCGUGGGUUGCUCGGGAAAGCUAGCCUCUGUUUCAUGCUGGCGUCGGAGGAGGGGUCCGCGGGACAUCAGCUUGUUGGUGGGGUAACGGCCUACCAAGGCGAUGACGCGUAGCUGAUCUGAGAGGAUGAUCAGCCACAUUGGGACUGAGAUACGGCCCAGACUCCUACGGGAGGCAGCAGUGGGGAAUCUUGCGCAAUGGCCGAGAGGCUGACGCAGCGACGCCGCGUGCGGGAGGACGCUCUUCGGGGUGUAAACCGCUGUCGGGAGGGACGAAGAUCCUGGGGAGGCAAUGCCCCGGGGGUGACGGUACCUUCAGAGGAAGCACCGGCUAACUCCGUGCCAGCAGCCGCGGUAAUACGGAGGGUGCGAGCGUUGUUCGGAAUUACUGGGCGUAAAGGGCGCGUAGGCGGCCGUUUAAGUCUACCUGUGAAAGGCCGGGGCUCAACCCCGUGCUGGUAGGAGAUACUGGGCGGCUGGAGACAGGCAGAGGCGGGUGGAAUUCCGGGUGUAGCGGUGGAAUGCGUAGAGAUCCGGAAGAACACCGGGGGCGAAGGCGGCCCGCUGGGCCUGGUCUGACGCUGAGGCGCGAAGGCGUGGGGAGCGAACAGGAUUAGAUACCCUGGUAGUCCACGCGGUAAACGAUGGGCACUCGGUGCUGGGGGGAUCGAUCCUCUCGGUGCCUGAGCUAACGCGUUAAGUGCCCCGCCUGGGGAGUACGGCCGCAAGGCUGAAACUCAAAGGAAUUGACGGGGGCCCGCACAAGCGGUGGAGCAUGUGGUUUAAUUCGAAGCAACGCGAAGAACCUUACCUGGGCUUGACAUGCUAGCGAAAGCUCCGUGAAAGCGGAGCCCCCCUUCAGGGCGCUAGCACAGGUGCUGCAUGGCUGUCGUCAGCUCGUGUCGUGAGAUGUUGGGUUAAGUCCCGCAACGAGCGCAACCCUUGCCUGUUGUUGCCAGCAUGGCCGAAAGGCUGAUGGGGACUCGACAGGGACCGCCGGUGAUAAACCGGAGGAAGGUGGGGACGACGUCAAGUCAUCAUGGUCCUUACGUCCAGGGCUACACACGUGCUACAAUGGCUGGGACAAACCGCUGCAAACCCGCGAGGGGGAGCGAAUCGGAGAAACCCGGUCCAAGUUCGGAUUGCAGUCUGUAACUCGACUGCAUGAAGCUGGAAUCGCUAGUAAUCGUGGAUCAGCUACGCCACGGUGAAUACGUUCCCGGGCCUUGUACACACCGCCCGUCACGCCAUGGAAGUCGGGAGCGCCCGAAGUACGUGGGCCAACCCCUUACGGGGAGGCAGCGUCUUAAGGCGAGUUCGGUGACUGGGGCGAAGUCGUAACAAGGUAACC